rnacentral:misc_RNA from 1 species
GAUGAAGAACUCAUCGAAAUGCGAUAAGUAAUGUGAAUUGCAGAAUUCAGUGAAUCAUCGAAUCUUUGAACGCACAUUGCGCCCCUUGGUAUUCCGAGGGGCAUGCCUGUUCGAGCGUCAUUUCAACCCUCAAGCUCUGCUUGGUCUUGGGCCUGGCCGUGAUGGCCGGUCUUAAAAUCAGUGGCGGUGCCGUCGCAGGCUCCAAGCGUAGUACAUCUCUCGCUCUGGAAACUUGGCGGUGCCUGCCAGACAACCCCUAAUUGUCUCUUUCGGUUGACCUCGGAUCAGGUAGGGAUACCCGCUGAACUUAAGCAUAUCAAUAAGCGGAGGA